CGGAGACUGGCCUCCCGUGCGCUCCCGUCGCGCGGCCGGCCC
rnacentral:rRNA from 1 species